rnacentral:miRNA from 1 species
CUGGGUGAGAGAAACACGUAU